GGAUGUGAGGGCGAUCUGGCUGAGACAUCAGUCACCCAUCAAUUGCUAGGGUUGAUUCAGCUGAUCUGGCUGACUAGGCAGGUGUCCCUUUCUUCCCUCACUGCUCUAUGUGCAUCCCUCCCAAAGCUUCACUACAGGUUGAGGAGGAUAACCACCUCCAAUAGAGUACUGUCUCCUAAGUCAAGGGUGUAUGAGCAACUGUAUUUUCCUGCUAGAACCUCCAAAUAAGCUCUGAAGAACAACCCACUAAAUCCUUUUUAUUUCAAGGAUAAAAAGAAAAAAGAAGGUGAAGAAGAGGAGGACGAAGAGGAAUAAGGAGGAGGAAAAACAAGAAUACUCCAUCAUAGGGCCUUGGCUUUAAU
rfam:Cavia porcellus supercont2_325 genomic scaffold, whole genome shotgun sequence.